AUGAACGCUGGCGGCGUGCCUAAUACAUGCAAGUCGAGCGAACGGACGAGAAGCUUGCUUCUCUGAUGUUAGCGGCGGACGGGUGAGUAACACGUGGAUAACCUACCUAUAGACUGGGAUAAAUUCCGGAAACCGGAGCUAAUACCGGAUAAUAAUUUGAACCGCAUGGUUCCAAAGUGAAAGACGGUCUUUGUGUUACUUAUAGAUGGAUCCGCGCUGCAUUAGCUAGUUGGUAAGGUAACGGCUUACCAAGGCAACGAUGCAUAGCCGACCUGAGAGGGUGAUCGGCCACACUGGAACUGAGACACGGUCCAGACUCCUACGGGAGGCAGCAGUAGGGAAUCUUCCGCAAUGGGCGAAAGCCUGACGGAGCAACGCCGCGUGAGUGAUGAAGGUCUUCGGAUCGUAAAACUCUGUUAUUAGGGAAGAACAUAUGUGUAAGUAACUGUGCACAUCUUGACGGUACCUAAUCAGAAAGCCACGGCUAACUACGUG
rnacentral:rRNA from 1 species